AGAUUAUGGAGAGAAUUCACCAAAGUGCAAUAGCUGUCCAUGCAAACUAACCACCUUCUAGUUGUCAAAGCAUGAUCUUCACGAUUCAAAUUAAAGAACAAUAUGUUCCACUGUUCACAUCAAAAUUUAGCUUAAUCGGACCACAAAUUGCCUUCCAAUUGUCAGAAAUGAUGAAACUGGUUUAUGUUAAAAAUCAAUGAAAAACACCAAAAACUAAAGAAACAGAACUCCAAAUAAGUUCUCCACCAUUUGCAAUGAAGAACCAGAUGUUAGGAUCUUGUGAACCAAAUUUGAGCUCGAUCCAACAGUAAACAAGCUCCCA
rnacentral:misc_RNA from 1 species